AAAUUGAAGAGUUUGAUCAUGGCUCAGAUUGAACGCUGGCGGCAGGCCUAACACAUGCAAGUCGAACGGUAACAGGAAACAGCUUGCUGUUUCGCUGACGAGUGGCGGACGGGUGAGUAAUGUCUGGGAAACUGCCUGAUGGAGGGGGAUAACUACUGGAAACGGUAGCUAAUACCGCAUAAUGUCGCAAGACUAAAGAGGGGGA
rnacentral:rRNA from 1 species